UACAGAGGUCCCAAGCGUUGUUCGGAUUCACUGGGCGUAAAGGGUGCGUAGGCGGUCGGGUAAGUCUGAUGUGAAAUCUCACAGCUUAACUGUGAAACUGCAUUGGAUACUAUCCGGCUCCGAGGAAUGGAGGGGAGACUGGAAUACUUGGUGUAGCAGUGAAAUGCGUAGAUAUCAAGUGGAACACCAGUGGCGGAAGGCGAGUCUCUGGACAUUUCCUGACGCUGAGGCACGAAAGCCAGGGGAGCAAACGGG
rnacentral:rRNA from 1 species